rnacentral:hammerhead_ribozyme from 1 species
GCACCACUGACGAGUCCCAAGACAGGACGAAACAGCUGUCCAAUGC